ACUAGGAUUAGAUACCCUAUUAUUUUAAAUGUAAAAUUUUUUACUUAAGUAGUAUUAGUUAUGUUCUUGAAAUUUAAAGAUUUUGGCGGUAUUUUAGUCUUUUUAGAGGAACCUGUUCUAUAAUUGAUAAUCCACGAUUGAUUUUACUUAUUUUAUAAAUUUGUAUACCGUCGUUAUAAGAAAAUUUUAUUAGAAUGUGAAUUUUUAAUAUUUUUAAUUAAAAAAUAUAUCAGAUCAAGGUGCAGUCUAUAUUUAAGAAGAAAUGGGUUACAAUAAGUUUAUUUAUACGGAUAAAAAUGAGAAUAAAUUUAUUUGAAGGUGGAUUUAAUUGUAAUAAAAUUUAAUUUAAUUUUAUGAUUUUGGCUCUAAAAUAUGUACAUAUCGCCCGUCACUCUUAUUAUAAGAUAAGAUAAGUCGUAACAUAGUAGAUGUACUGGAAAGUGUAUCUAGAAUGACAAAUUAGAGCUUGUAUUAGUAAAGCAUUUUAUUUACAUUAAAGAGUUAUUGUGCAAAUCAAUUUAAUUUGAAAUUUAAAAUUUAUUAAGAUAUAUUUAUAUUUUUUUUGUUAAUAAAAAUAAUUUUAAUUAUUUAAGUUUUAGUAUUUUUUAUAGAAAAAAUUUUAUUUAUUAUAGUUUAAUAGUAUUGUAAAAGAAAGUUGAAAUAUAAUUUAAUUGUAUAAAAGUAAAAUUUAAUUUUUGUACCUUGUGUAUCAGGGUUUAUUAAAUAAGAAUUAAUUAUUUUAAUUUUCUCGAUUUUAAGAGAGUUAAUAAAUUAUUUUUUUUAUUGUAAAAUAAAUAUUUAUAAUAAUUUAUUAGUAAUGAAAUGUUAUUCGUUCUUAAAUAUAUCUAGUUUAUUUAGAAAUGAAUUUAAUUCAGAUAUUUUAAUUUUAAUAAUUUAAUUUGUUAAAUUAUUAAAUUUUAAUAUUAAUAAUUAAAGGGAUAAGCUUUUAAUUAAAAAUUUAUAAAUUAUAAAGUUAGUUUAAAAAAUGUAAGCUUAGAAAUAGCUAUCAUUAAUAAUUUGUUAUAAUUAAUUUAUUUAAAAAUAUGAUUUUAUAAAAUUUUAAGUUUUUAUAAAUAAAUAAUUUUUAAUUUAUAAAAAUUAGAUAAAAUGAUAAAAUUAGUAUAUAUUGGAAAUAUUUAAAUAAUUAUUUAUAAUAGAUUAUUUAAAGGAAUUCGGCAAAUAUUUUACUCGCCUGUUUAACAAAAACAUGUCUUUUUGAUAUAUAUAUAAAGUCUAACCUGCCCACUGAAUUUUUAAAUGGCUGCAGUAAUUUGACUGUACAAAGGUAGCAUAAUCAUUAGUUUUUUAAUUAAAAGCUUGUAUGAAAGGUUGGACGAGGUAAAAUCUGUCUCUAUUUAAUUUAUAGUAGAAUUUAAUUUUUAAGUUAAAAAGCUUAAAUAAUUAUAAAAGACGAGAAGACCCUAUAGAGCUUUAUAUUUUUAUUUAAUAUAAUUAAUUAGGAUUUAUUUAAGUUUUAUUAUUAAAAUUAUUUUAUUGGGGUAAUAAAAAGAUUGAAAUAAUUCUUUUUAAUUAUUUACAUUUAUUUAUGGUUUAAAUGAUCCAUUUUUAAUGAUUAAAAGAUUAAGUUACCUUAGGGAUAACAGCGUAAUUUUUUUAAAGAGUUCAUAUCGAUAAAAAAGUUUGCGACCUCGAUGUUGGAUUAAAGAUUAAUUUAGGUGUAGAAGUUUAAAUAUUUGGUCUGUUCGACCAUUAAAUCUUUACAUGAUCUGAGUUCAAACCGGAG
rnacentral:rRNA from 1 species